rnacentral:rRNA from 1 species
AUUGAACGCUGGCGGCAGGCCUAACACAUGCAAGUCGAACGAGUGGCGGACGGGUGAGUAAUGUCUGGGAAACUGCCUGAUGGAGGGGGAUAACUACUGGUAACGGUAGCUCAUACCGCAUACCAUCGGAUGUGCCCAGAUGGGCGUGGCUAGUAGGAGGGGUAAAGGCUAACCUAGGCGACGAUCCCUAGCUGGUCUGAGAGGAUGACCAGCCAGAAUGGAACUGAGAUACGGUCCAGAGUCCUACGGGAGGAAGCAGUGGUGAAUAGUGCACAAUGGGCGCAAGCCUGAUGCAGCCAUGCCGCGUGUAUGAAGAAGGCCUUCGGGUUGUAAAGUACUUUCAGCGGGGAGGCGUUACCCGCAGAAGAAGCACCGGCUAACUCCGUGCCAGCAGCCGCGGUAAUAC